UGCCAGACUCCUACGGGAGGCAGCAGUGAGGAAUAUUGGUCAAUGGACGGAAGUCUGAACCAGCCAUGCCGCGUGCAGGAAGACGGCUCUAUGAGUUGUAAACUGCUUUUGUACAAGGGUAAACCUGAAUACGUGUAUUCAGCUGAAAGUACUGUACGAAUAAGGAUCGGCUAACUCCGUGCCAGCAGCCGCGGUAAUACGGAGGAUCCAAGCGUUAUCCGGAUUUAUUGGGUUUAAAGGGUGCGUAGGCGGUUUUAUAAGUUAGAGGUGAAAUCUCGGGGCUCAACUCCGAAAUUGCCUCUAAUACUGUAGGACUAGAGAGUAGUUGCGGUAGGCGGAAUGUAUGGUGUAGCGGUGAAAUGCUUAGAGAUCAUACAGAACACCGAUUGCGAAGGCAGCUUACCAAACUAUAUCUGACGUUGGGGCGCGAAAGCGUGGGUAGCAAACAGGAUUAGAUACCCCCGUA
rnacentral:rRNA from 1 species